GGAAUUAAGAACGGCACGUUGUCCUUGUAACGGGGAUCCAGCACGGUGGCCAUCAGUAAGCAGAACAAGUUAGAAUGUGGGCAACUCGGCAGUUGUUGCGCAGGCACUUUGGUGACUCUAGAUAAUCUCGGGCCGAUCGCAUGUCCCUGUGACAGUGACGAUGCAUUGGGAUGUCUGCCCUAUCAACUUUCGAUGAUACUUUCUGCGCCUACCAUGGUGACCAUGGGUAACAGGAAUCAGGGUUCGAUUACG